rnacentral:misc_RNA from 1 species
GAUGAAGACGUAGCGAAAUGCGAUACGUAAUGUGAAUUGCAGAAUUCAGUGAAUCAUCGAAUCUUUGAACGCAUAUUGCGCUCUCUGGUAUUCCGGAGAGCAUGCUUGUUUGAGUAUCAGUAAACACCUCAACUUCCAUAUCUUUUUUGAAAUGGGAGUUGGACUUGAGUGAUCCCAACGCUUUUCCUCACCGAAAAGUGGCGGGUUACUUGAAAUGCAGGUGCAGCUGGACUUUUCUCUGAGCUAUAAGCAUAUCUAUUUAGUCUGCCUAAAAAACAGAUUAUUACCUUUGCUGCAGCUAACAUAAAGGAGAUUAGUUCUUGUGCUGACUGAUGCAGGAUUCACAAAGACGGCUUCGGCCGACUUUGUAAACUCGAUCUCAAAUCAAGUAAGACUACCCGCUGAACUUAAGCAUAUCAAUAAGCGGAGGA